GCCAGUAUGAUGUAGUGGUUUGAAUGCUAGACUUCAACUCUGGAGUUCAGGGUUUGAAUCUCUGUUUAGUCA
rnacentral:tRNA from 1 species